rnacentral:rRNA from 1 species
GAUGAACGCUGGCGGCGUGCCUAAUACAUGCAAGUCGAGCGAACGGACGAGAAGCUUGCUUCUCUGAUGUUAGCGGCGGACGGGUGAGUAACACGUGGAUAACCUACCUAUAAGACUGGGAUAACUUCGGGAAACCGUAGCUAAUACCGGAUAAUAUUUUGAACCGCAUGGUUCAAUAGUGAAAGACGGUCUUGCUGUCACUUAUAGAUGGAUCCGCGCUGCAUUAUCUAGUUGGUAAGGUAACGGCUUACCUAGGCAACGAUGCAUAGCCGACCUGAGAGGGUGAUCGGCCACACUGGAACUGAGACACGGUCCAGACCCCUACGGGAGGCAGCAGUAGGGAAUCUUCCGCAAUGGGCGAAAGCCUGACGGAGCAACGCCGCGUGAGUGAUGAAGGUCUUCGGAUCGUAAAACUCUGUUAUUAGGGAAGAACAUAUGUGUAAGUAACUGUGCACAUCUUGACGGUACCUAAUCAGAAAGCCACGGCUAACUACGU